UAACUGCAUAUGAUGUAUUAUUUUCUUUGAUAAUAUUGAGAAUUUAACGGGUUGUGUGUUCUUAUAGAUACUGAUGGACGGAUUGUAUUAUUGGACUCUCCAGAAAGAACACAGUCUGUCACAGUUGAUGAAGAUGAUGAUGACGAUGAAGAGACCACAUCUGCUGUGACAGAAGUGGACAAUGCUGGUAGAUCCACUGAGUACAUACCUAGGGAUUUGCCCACAGAUGAGGGU